GAUGAACGCUGGCGGCGUGCUUAACGCAUGCAAGUCGAACGAUGAAGCCCAGCUUGCUGGGUGGAUUAGUGGCGAACGGGUGAGUAACACGUGAGUAACCUGCCCUUAACUCUGGGAUAAGCCUGGGAAACUGGGUCUAAUACCGGAUAGGAGCGUCCACCGCAUGGUGGGUGUUGGAAAGAUUUAUCGGUUUUGGAUGGACUCGCGGCCUAUCAGCUUGUUGGUGAGGUAAUGGCUCACCAAGGCGACGACGGGUAGCCGGCCUGAGAGGGUGACCGGCCACACUGGGACUGAGACACGGCCCAGACUCCUACGGGAGGCAGCAGUGGGGAAUAUUGCACAGUGGGCGCAAGCCUGAUGCAGCGACGCCGCGUGAGGGAUGACGGCCUUCGGGUUGUAAACCUCUUUCAGUAGGGAAGAAGCGAAAGUGACGGUACCUGCAGAAGAAGCACCGGCUAACUACGUG
rnacentral:rRNA from 1 species